rnacentral:rRNA from 1 species
UACAGAGGGGGCAAGCGUUGUUCGGAAUUACUGGGCGUAAAGGGCGCGUAGGCGGCCUGCUAAGUCGAACGUGAAAUCCCUGGGCUCAACCCAGGAACUGCGUCCGAUACUGGUUGGCUUGAAUCCGGGAGAGGGAUGUGGAAUUCCAGGUGUAGCGGUGAAAUGCGUAGAGAUCGGGAGGAACACCUGCGGCGAAGGCGGGUUGCUGGGCUGACACUGACGCUGAAGCGCGAAAGCUAGGGGAGCGAACGGG